rnacentral:rRNA from 1 species
GAGUUUGAUCCUGGCUCAGGACGAACGCUGGCGGCGUGCCUAAUACAUGCAAGUAGAACGCUGAAGAGAGGAGCUUGCUCUUCUUGGAUGAGUUGCGAACGGGUGAGUAACGCGUAGGUAACCUGCCUGGUAGCGGGGGAUAACUAUUGGAAACGAUAGCUAAUACCGCAUAAAAUUGAUUAUUGCAUGAUAAUUAAUUGAAAGAUGCAAUUGCAUCACUACCAGAUGGACCUGCGUUGUAUUAGCUAGUUGGUGAGGUAACGGCUCACCAAGGCGACGAUACAUAGCCGACCUGAGAGGGUGAUCGGCCACACUGGGACUGAGACACGGCCCAGACCCCUACGGGAGGCAGCAGUAGGGAAUCUUCGGCAAUGGGGGGAACCCUGACCGAGCAACGCCGCGUGAGUGAAGAAGGUUUUCGGAUCGUAAAGCUCUGUUGUAAGAGAAGAACAGGUGUGAGAGUGGAAAGUUCACACUGUGACGGUAUCUUACCAGAAAGGGACGGCUAACUACGUGCCAGCAGCCGCGGUAAUACGUAGGUCCCGAGCGUUGUCCGGAUUUAUUGGGCGUAAAGCGAGCGCAGGCGGUUAGAUAAGUCUGAAGUUAAAGGCUGUGGCUUAACCAUAGUAUGCUUUGGAAACUGUUUAACUUGAGUGCAGAAGGGGAGAGUGGAAUUCCAUGUGUAGCGGUGAAAUGCGUAGAUAUAUGGAGGAACACCGGUGGCGAAAGCGGCUCUCUGGUCUGUAACUGACGCUGAGGCUCGAAAGCGUGGGGAGCAAACAGGAUUAGAUACCCUGGUAGUCCACGCCGUAAACGAUGAGUGCUAGGUGUUAGGCCCUUUCCGGGGCUUAGUGCCGCAGCUAACGCAUUAAGCACUCCGCCUGGGGAGUACGACCGCAAGGUUGAAACUCAAAGGAAUUGACGGGGGCCCGCACAAGCGGUGGAGCAUGUGGUUUAAUUCGAAGCAACGCGAAGAACCUUACCAGGUCUUGACAUCCCUCUGACCGCUCUAGAGAUAGAGUUUUCCUUCGGGACAGAGGUGACAGGUGGUGCAUGGUUGUCGUCAGCUCGUGUCGUGAGAUGUUGGGUUAAGUCCCGCAACGAGCGCAACCCCUAUUGUUAGUUGCCAUCAUUCAGUUGGGCACUCUAGCGAGACUGCCGGUAAUAAACCGGAGGAAGGUGGGGAUGACGUCAAAUCAUCAUGCCCCCUAUGACCUGGGCUACACACGUGCUACAAUGGCUGGUACGACGAGUCGCAAGCCGGUGACGGCAAGCUAAUCUCUGAAAGCCAGUCUCAGUUCGGAUUGUAGGCUGCAACUCGCCUACAUGAAGUCGGAAUCGCUAGUAAUCGCGGAUCAGCACGCCGCGGUGAAUACGUUCCCGGGCCUUGUACACACCGCCCGUCAA